rnacentral:tRNA from 1 species
CAGGGAGACAAAACUGAUUGUGAUGUCUGAGCGCUAUGAGGACGAAAGUCUGAGUAGCACAUUUGUCUUAGGCCACAAUCCUGUCAUCUCGAAGGUCGAUCGGUACCUCAGCUGACAAAUCAGAAAGCAGAGAUUAAAUACAGCAAUGGAUUUAAUUGAAGACUUGUCUGAGGCGUCUUUUCAGUUCCUAAACUUUGUCUAGGUCACACCCCACAGAGAGUGAAUCCCGCGAGGGAGGAGCUCAAUGGAAAGGUAAAACUCCUGGGCCAUUAGCUCAGGUGGUUAGAGCGCACCCCUGAUAAGGGUGAGGUCCCUGGUUCAAGUCCAGGAUGGCCCAUUCGUGUUUGGGGGUUUAGCUCAGUUGGUAGAGCGCCUGCUUUGCAAGCAGGAUGUCAGCGGUUCGAGUCCGCUAACCUCCACUGACCAAACCCUUCACAGCGAAAGCAGGAGGAGGAAACCGAGCCAUGCCAUGGUGUGACGAGACAUGUCCGCUGAUCAAGAAUUCAGCUUCUUUUCAUUUGAGAUGGAAUUGCCAUCCAGUUGAAAAGACGCUGAGCUCUAGCAGCAUGAAUGGAGACUGAAAAGUCUAAAUUUGUGCUCUGAUGUUCAGCUGAACCUUGACAACUGCAUAAGUAAAGUCUGGAAAUGAAAGCAUCUCAUGGAUGCUCGAUUUCUGCUGAUGGGUUUCGAGAGAAGCCUUUGAGGUAUGAAUCGAGAAGUUCUUGAGCAAGAGCCGAGACCCAGCAUUGUUCCUCAAACAUCGCCGAGAUGGGAGGGGUUUGAUUUUGGCAUUCAAACCGUUGAUGACCACGAUGAAGGCAAUGAAGAUUGUCUUUAUUUUGUCAUGAAGAGGUGAAUCCGAGAGAAUCUGCGAUUCAAGGCAGCAAUGCAAUGUUGGGAUACAUU